rnacentral:lncRNA from 1 species
CCAGCUGCAUUAUUUUUAUACGCAGGUAGUCAUAACUGGACUUUUGAAGGAUUCCGUGUGUGCUCUUCUUGGAAAAGCAGUGGCUGAGCGUGUGAUGAGCUUCUGGAUUUUAAGGCUAAAGAGGGCUGUGCAGUUCAUAGCAGAGAGAAAAUUACCUCUGUAUGAAGCAGGGGCUUGGUUAUGUCCCUGCGCUGCAGAACCUUGUGCUGCUUUGGCAAGGAAGGUGAAUUAACAUAAGGGAGAGGCAUGGCUGGUGCCUGCUUGGGGCUAUCAUGUGAUGCCUAAACUUGCACCUACGUAAGAAAACCUAAGCCUGCUGAAGAAAAUGCAGAGCUGGCACAGCAAGGUGGCUGCGUGUUCAGCUCAUGCAGCUGCUGGAAGGUGAGCCAGAAAGGCAUCUUCAGAGGAGUGGGAAUGAGGUGAUACCCUCUGGGAUGUGGGUUGUCUCUUCACAAUUCACUUGCAACACCCGUGUCCCAGCCUAGCUCCUCCAAAGCACUGCUGCCUUCCUCCUGAACACUUUCCACUUCAGACUGGUGCAAGCCUAGAUCCCAUUCUGCCUGUCACAGAAUCAUAGAAUCAUAGAAGGGCUUGGAUUGUGUUAGGUUGGGUUGUGUUGGGUUGGGUUGGAAGGGACCUCAAAGACCAUCUAGUUCCAACCCCCUGCCAUGGGCAGGGCUGCCACCCACCAGCUCAGCUGCCCAGGGCCCCGUCCAACCUGACCUUGAGCACCUCCAGGAAUGGAGAUGUCCCCAUCAGUCAAGGGACAAGGGGUGGCAAUGUCUGCAUUAAAGCCAUCUGGAGCUGAGGGCAGCCUUCACCACUGGCCCUGCAGAGAGCGCAUCAGCAGCACCGGGGCCAGACAAUGUAUUUUUCAUUCCAAUAUUUGUUCUGUUUUAUUAAAGCACUGACAGUAAAUACAUCAAUUAGGAAGAUACAGCAAGUGGGAAACACAAGCUGGGAUGGAGAGGUUUAACCAGCUAUAAAUAGUGGUCGGAUAAACAGUCAGCUGUGACUUAUGGGCUGCAGCACGGCGCUCAGCACCUGUUACUAGGAGACUUCUUACCAGUUUGUUUGUUUGCUUUUAAAAGAAAAACUGUUUACAAUGAUAAAGCCCAGGCUGACAGAUUUUCCGCCUUCUGGGAAAACAUUACUGCCUAACCAUCACCUGCAGGUGUUUUUCCUGCCUGUUGUGCAGUAUUUACACUGCUGCUCACGCCAGAGCUAGGCAGCGCUUUGGGCAGCCUUAGGGACCAGGAGCUUCCCCGUGCUUCAGCCCUGGGCGAAACGAAUGUGCCACCAUUCUGAGCUCAGCACUUUGUGUCCAUCUCCCAGAGAAGCAGCCAGCCUGGACACAAAGGCAUAAGGAGCCCCAGGCUCCCCCCACUCCCUUCAAUGUGUGCCAGCACGCCCCAUGCAAUGUGUCUCAUUUCUUAUUUACAUUCACCUCGCUUUAAAUUGCGGUCCCUGCUGCUUGUUACGCCUCUUUCUGCUAGAUUAAAGAGCCCUAAAAUGUCGCCCUGGCAGCGUUAUCAACUGCCCUCUGCUAUUAUUGCCUUGCAGUAAAUAAAAGGCACUUUCCAGUCAUUAUUUUAUACCCCACAAUCGCAUUGCUUUUCCAGAUAAUUAGUUUUCACUCCUCUUAUCUGUAUUCAAGCCUCACCUCCCUUUCAGUGCUUCCAUUGCCUGCUCGGGGACCUCUCCUAUCUCUCCUGUGACCUCUGGGAGAGGAGCAGAGAGGUAUCCAGGGGGGCUCAGGGAAAGGACAUCUGAUCUGCUUGUGGCCCUGUCAACCUGGUGCUGAGCACGGCCGCUGCCUUUGUGCACACCUGAUCAUGCCACUGAGCACCUGGGAAGAGGAGGUGAUGGCUUGCUGACCUGCAAAGCUGCCCCCAUUUUGGCACAGUCGGCUUGCACAAGACCUGUCAGUCUGUAUGACAUAGCAGCUAUCUGUCGGAGCUUUCGUCUCCCAGUCUGCCCAACUGCCUUUCAAUAGGAUUCUGUAUAUGAAAAUGAUUUUAUGCUAUGCACUGUUCCCUUCUGCCAUGGAGUACAUAAAAAUACUAUGGCAAAACACAUUCUCAUCAAGCUUUCUGGGGAAAAGAUAAGAGCAACAGCUUACUCAAGUGAAGGUGCUCAUUGGACUCUCCCUCUCUUUUCUAAAUUGCUGGGUUUUUUUCUUUUUGGCAAGAACCCAUCUGAGUCCCCGGUUGCUGUUUGAUAAUACAUUGGAAGCAGGAAUUAAUCUUCAGGAGGUCAGCCCAACUUCCUAUUCCAAUUUAAGAAAAUUUUAAAAUCUAAGCUAUCGAGUGUGCAUAGUUAAAAGUACAUCAGGAGCCACUGAAGGCCACUUUGGAUGACGUACUGCCAAAAUGCCCUUUAAGGGCUGCUAGGAAACUAUGUUUAGCUUUCAGAUGUAGAGUUCGAAGCUGCUGGUAUGCCUUUACAACAUAGAGGCAGCAGCACUCUUCCCAGAAUAUCCUCGCCACACCAUAUUAGAAAUGGAGAUUUACUAUUUCACUUUGUUUCCUAGCUACCAACAUUUUUUUUUAGUUUAGUAGUAGAGAUGAGCAGUGAAAUCUGGCAUUCAGGCUGUGACUUCAUCAAAUCCUUUCACAAAUCUCAUACUACAUCUAUAUAUAUAUGUAUGUAUAUCUGUAGCAAUUGUAGAUUUUCUGAGGCAGUCUUUCCAGAAAUGUUUCAGUUAUUCACUUUUAUCCUGGAUGCUCACCCAUUCCUGCCCCACACCCCUUCCCCAAAGCCCCAUCUGCUAUGGGAGCACUCUCUCUCCUCUGCUCUCCCCCUUCCCAGCUCUACCAGUCCCUUUACAUUCAUCACAUUAAAGAAAACAUUUCAUGGUCAUCUCUUUUAUCUCCUUCAGUGAGCAGUUAAUCAGAAAAAAUGCUUUCAUGUUGCUAAAUCAGGGCCAGUGGGCAAAGCCAGGCUGACAAGAGACAUUUUCCUCUGCCACUAACCUGGGCUAAAUAGUAUUAAUUACAGAGGCUGGGCUUUGAUUGCUGGAGUGUGGUGGGGCUGCAAGAACUCUCUGCUGCCCCUCCACCUAGGCCCUUGCUGCAUAUCUCCACCGACACUGGGAAGGAAUCGAUGGGAGCUGGAUGUGGCUGAAAGGCAUCAUUUGGACCCGGAGCUGUGCCCCUCUCUGGGCUGGCAGCCACAUCCCCCAAGUGAGAGUCACCUCCCAUCAAACACCAGCAAGCAGCUGGUUGUGUAUAUCAAAAUGUGGUGGAUGCCCUGUUCCUGGAGACACUCAAGGUCAGGCUGGACGGGGCUCUGAGAACCCUGAUGUCGCUGUAGGUGUCCCUGUUCAUUGCAGGGGAGUUGGACCAGCUGGCCUCCAGGGUCUUUUUCAACUCAAAUGACUCCAUGAGUGUGUGAUUCUAUGAAAACAGGCCAAAGAUCCAGAUGCAUGAAUCACCCUGAGCUCUUCACUGCAUGGCCGCAACAUGGCUGCUUUUUGGACUCUGACCACCACUGACCGCUUUCCCUGCUCUACUCCCAGCUCAGCAGAGGUUUAUGAAAGAGACAACAGGAGGAAUGUGCAUGGUGGUCAGAGAUCUUCCCUUGGGAGGGGUGGCACAGAGCAGGGCUGGAGUCCAGCCACGGUUUAAGCCAGUUGAGGUGGCCAUCCCUUGUGACUGUGGUGAUGCGCUCUGCGGCCAUGCAGCUGGUGGGCAGCAUGGCAAUCACAGCGCUCUGGGCAGCUCCAGGCUCCCUACAAAAUCUGGCCAGACCAACAUUGUGAAAUGCUUUUUUCUUUGUUUUGACUGCUUAGUGCUGUGUAUCAAGGCCUGCUGCUCCCAGUGUGAGUAUAGCUGCAUUUCUACCACAUAAAUACUGUUGGUAUGAACUCAACUCCGUGCCCUUUGCAAGUCCAAGUCAUUUCUUCUCACUCCAUGGUAUUGCAGAUCCCAGGUCCUUCUUUUUCCUCUAUGCUGCAGGUUUCCAUAGCUCAUCCUGCCCUUCAAGGUGAUAGUUUAUUCUACCCUGCACAUGCACAGACUGAAGCAGCAGCAGUAGUUCAGCUCUAUUUUUUCCCAGUCUACUUCUCCUAUGUGCUCUUCUCAAGGAGGCAUGGACCCACUCUUCCCAAACACCAGCCAGAUGCUGGGUUCUCCAUUGGGCACAGCCUCAGAAGGCCGCCUGCAUGACCUGACGGCUUAGCUCCAUUUGAAGAACUGGGAAACCACACAGAGUGGUCAGGGCCAAGCAACCAAAGACAGCAAAACCUUCUUCUAUCAGUAGUUUUCACAGACAAGAUGCUUAAGGCAGGUCUAAUUGCAGUUCUUUGUGAAUGGGGCCCUUGGGACUAUCUGGACCUCUAGGGCAGAAGUCUCAAUUUGGGUUCGAGUCAAGACUUGUCCAUAGUUGCAUCUACCUUCAAAUUAAAGUGCAGCACUUGUGGGAAGAAAGAAGUAAGUAACAGAACCAGCCCCCAUUCUGUUAUUUUUGAUACUCAGCUGUAUUUCCCACUGGCAGCGGUGUAUUUACAGGAGGCUGCAGUUGCAUGUGUUGUCCUGGAAGGGCUGUUGGGGAGGCACAAAUUGGCAGCCUGAUGGCUAGGAGAGAGCAAGUGUCAAGCAGGGCAGUAAAGAGCCUAGGGGGUGAGCAUGUUCUCUGGCUGAAAGUUGCAGCCAACAUCCAACAGUGAAGAAAACUAAGGUUUGAGUUGCCAUUGAGUUUAGAGUUAAUGGCCUAUUGAUAGGAAUGACAGUUCAGAGCCUGUUGUUGCAGCAUACUUCAGGCCACAAACAAUGCAGUUGCAUCUUUCUGUAGAAGCUUCAAAUAUUUAGGACUUUCCUCAUUCCCAGAGAGAUGUAUUUUUGUUUCUUUUUUCUUUCUCUUUUUCUUUUUUAUAGUGAAAAUAUAGACGAUAAGAGCGGCCAGCCUGGCUCAAAUGAAGCCUCUAUCUAGCCCAGCAUUUUGUGGAGGCUGCUCUUAGUUGCUGUGUGAGAAAGGCAAGAAGCUCCUCAGCAGUGGGACAGUGUGCCUGCCAAAAGAGUUCCUCCCUUAGAAAUUGUCUCUCUUGCUUAGAAGUUGUCUUCUGCCUUGAGGCAGGAUCGUUUAUGUCCAAAGCUACUUGAUUUGACUUUGUUCUUUCUUUGUUUUCAGUUCUUCAGGCUGUCAGUGUGAAUAAUAGAUCUUUGGUUCUGGAAUACAAUUCUCUAACAAAUAUCGGCUACUGUGGUAAAUUCUGGGGCUGCUGAGCUGCGGAAUAAAUCUUACCUCCAUUGAGUUUGAGGAUGGUGCCUUUGGAGAAGGUAGGGUGUGCUGGUACAGCACCUUCCUGUGGGUUCUCAGGUGGUAAUUCCUCCUUGAAAUUCUGCAUGUGCAGGACCAGACCAUCUUUCAGCCUGAGCAAUGAGCCUGAACUUCUCAUAAGCUCCACAUUUGGGAUUCUGCUGCCACUUGGUGGCAUCCACUCUCUCUUCCUGGCCCCAGGAAUCCCUCCUUGGCUUCCAAAGGGUAGCACUUGUGAGAAGAGAACAUCUGAGUUCUGCAGUGUAACUGCCCUCCAAGUUCCCAGGACCCAUUCUGGAACCACGAGGAGCUUUUCCAAGAUCAUCAUUUCCCGUUUGGAUCUACACAAAAGCAUCGCAGAUGCUGGCAAGAAUUCUGAGAGGAUCUCAGGUGCUUUAUGGGCAAUUUGUAAAUGAAAGAGUUUUACCAAAUCUAGCAACAGUGGAAGUAUUUUCACAAAGCAGACCAAGGUCUGUGUCUGUCUGCUUGUAACUCUGCUCUGCGGCACUUGCAGUCUCAAGAGCAGGACCAGGUGGGAGAAGAAACUAUCUAGAUCGUUCCUCUUCUUCACAGAGACUGAAAAGCACAGUUGUCACAAGAGCUGGCGGCAAGCUAGACCUGCUUUGGACAUACUGUGAUCUAGCGAGCUGCGAGGUUUCCACACUGCAUUUCACUUCCUGAGGCCACGGGUUGCUUUGCCCUGGGUCAGCAGCCACAAGCUGCUCAGACAGGAUGGGAGGUGGCACGCUGUGUAGCAAACCCAUGGGAAUUGCUCCAGGUCCACCUUUCCUUUGGAGGCCGGGAGGCAGCAUGCUGUUCCCACCAUGCUGCGGAUGGCAGCAGCAGUGAGCAGGCUCAUGUGGAUGGGAAACAAGAGCCAUCCAGCACAGGGCAAAGCAAUGGGCCUGCCGAGCAGGUGACCUAAGUUGGGACACAUGCUUUGCAAAGGACUUCAGGGAACCUGGCCCAAACCAACAGUGAUCCUGCAGAUGAAACAACUGAUGUCUAAAGUUGACAGCAUUCCUACUCUCUUCCAUGUCAAGACAAAGUUGAAAUCCACCCAUCUCCUGCAAAGAUGGCGAGUUACCAAGGACCUUCUGCCCAUCCCAUCCUGGUCCCCUGCCAGGUGGCAAGAGCUGCACCUCUUUCCUCUUUGAGCUUCAUUCUGCUGCAGUUCUCCAGCAGCCAGAGUAAAGCAGGGCAGCACACUACGCUCUGCCUGGGGAGAGCAACACAAGAUGGGCACAGUGGCAUCAGGAGCAGCAAAGCAUGAGAAUAAGUACAACAAGGGGUGAUCUUUGAGGAGGGAGAGGGGUUGUCCAAAAGCAGAACAGGGAGAGGAAAAUGGGAUAAGGGUGUUGUGGGCAACAUAUAUUAGAAAAUUCUGUACCGUGGUGCAACUCUAUGUUGGCAGGACACUGCUGCCCAGAGGCACUUCAUACUCAGGCUUGCAGAGCAAGGAUUCAAGUCAGCAUCACUGCAGCAGGCUAAGAGGACGUCUUCAUGACACACACCAGAGCUGUCCCUUCUCCAACUGUUCCUCAGCUCCUUAGCUGUAGGGGAGGAAGGGAUGG